ACAAAACUGAAAGUUCCACUUAUAUUGUACACAGGUAUAAAAUAUACAGUCAAUGAAACUGCAUUUCUUUGUUCUUUGUGUGUAAAUUAUUGAUUGUAACAGAAAUAAAUAUCAGUUAAAUUUGCAACAAAUACACAAAACCCAGCAGCAAAUACUCAACGUACAGUUAAGGUUUACUAAUCACGUGAUCCUUUAUCUAAUUACAUAUACAUUAAUUAAACUAACAUUGGGUUUUCCUUGACAAAGCACUGAUUUAAAUCGGUAAGGAAAAACAUUCCAUCAUUCGUUUAAAAAUAUAAAAUUCAUUAUAUCAUAAAUUUACUUUGAAUAAAAUAUUAUUCUCUAAGAGAAAUGCCAAUGGAAUAUUUUGAGUCGGAACAUUUUCUAUACAGGAUCGGUCGAAAACACACAAACCUGUCAGAUGUCAUUCUUAUAAGUUCACAUUGUUCAGAUAAACCUCCCCUAAAUGAUAAUAAUCAACGUUUUUGAUCUUUUGGAAGUAUCAAUAGAGUCUGUAAGUCUCGUUUGCUUUCAUUUUCGGUUUUACUACUUCCGGGUACAACAACAUGUGGAAUAUAUAAAGUCGUAACAGAGAAUCGGCGCUAAUUUGUAAUUUGGUGUAUUGUUAAGCGAUCGGCUGCAUACAUGAGACGGGGAAAACCCUGCCAUGUAGUUUAUUUAGGUUCCUAGUCGAUGCUACAAUAAGGAAGCGGUGGAUACAAAGAUGUAGACACAAAGUUACGAAACCUGCUGAAGCAGAAGCAUCUGCUUCAAAUGUACAUGUAGGAACCGAAAUUGAUACUGCUACCAAUAUAUCUGUACCAGACAACAAUGAAGUGCAUCUACAUGAUCACGAGUAUUAACAGCACCAAACCCUCAACAUUUAAAAAGCUUCCCUUGAAGACUAUGAUGUUGUAAACUUGCAGUGAGAAAUAUACCUGCUUAAUUAAAGGAAACCAUCCAUGACAUUUGGGAACAUCAUAAUUGAAAGACCCUGGAAAGGGAUCAUGAACACUGUUGGGAGUGUCCAUUCAACUGAAAUAUAAAAGUAAGAAGAAUUGAAGAUUGCAAUGGAUGCAACAGAAGUGACCUAAUAUGACCAAAUUGAUAUGAAUAGCCAGUUUUUCGCUUGCAGUAAUGACAAGAGUCGCCACAAAGAAAAGACCUUAAUGUGUAUUACACCUAAUGCAGCUUAUUUCCAAUCUGUAUGCUGGAUACAAAUCUAAUUUGGCAAUUGUGAACCAUUGUGACAUUUUAGAGAAGUUGCAAGUUGGUGAUAUAUUCCUGGCGGACAAAGGAUUUUGUUUUUUUGACAAACUUCCAAAUGACAUGACACUUAAUAUCCCAUUCUUUCUUACAAAUAAAUCCCACUUCUCAAAAGAGGAUGCACAACUUUGCUAUAAAAUUUCCAGAUGCAGAAUCCAUGUUGGAUGGGAAAAUGAGAGAUCUUUUUUUUUUUAAAUUCCUUAGCCAUUAUAGAUAUUGAUCUGACAAAAUAUUUCAGAUUUGUGUGGAUCAUGUGAAUUUGCAGGUUCCCCUUUUGAAGGAGAUUGCAGAUAAAUCCUACAAACUUAUUAGAUUAAUUGUAUGUAUAUAUAUAUACCUUAAAUCUGCACAUACCUGCCACAUUGAAUUUUUAAAGUUAAAAGUAAUGAAUACCAUAUAUGCAAUAUAACUUUACUACAUAUUUAUUUAAAUAUAAAGCCUUUUAUAUUCAUAUGAAUAUAAAGCCCUUUGGAACGUCUCCAUCAGAAUGAAAUAUUCUCGAGAGGAAUGUUAAACAAUAUACAAUCAAACAUAAAGCCUUUUGUUCUCAUUCUGAAGGUUUUCAAAUCUGCAUUAUUAAAAAAGAAGUAAAAUCCAUUGUUUGAGUAAAUGCAUGUAAUUGGAUGAUUUUUGUAAAGCUGGACACUGUGUCUAUACAUACAUGUAUUUUGGUUCAUCUAAAAUAAGAAAAACGCUUGUCUAUAAUGUUUAUUCAAUAAAUAUACAUGUAAUUACAUAACUUUGAUAGAUGCACCACUGAUAUCAUAAUAAAGUAUAUGUACAUGUG